rnacentral:rRNA from 1 species
AGAUUGAACGCUGGCGGCAGGCCUAACACAUGCAAGUCGAGCGGUAGAGAGGUGCUUGCAUCUCUUGAGAGCGGCGGACGGGUGAGUAAUGCCUAGGAAUCUGCCUAGUGGUGGGGGAUAACGUUCGGAAACGGACGCUAAUACCGCAUACGUCCUACGGGAGAAAGCGGGGGACCUUCGGGCCUCGCGCCAUUAGAUGAGCCUAGGUCGGAUUAGCUAGUUGGUGAGGUAAUGGCUCACCAAGGCGAACGAUCCGUAACUGGUCUGAGAGGAUGAUCAGUCACA